rnacentral:hammerhead_ribozyme from 1 species
UGCCAGCUGACGAGUCCUAAACAGGACGAGACGCGCGUCCUGGAU